rnacentral:rRNA from 1 species
UACGAAGGGGGCUAGCGUUGCUCGGAAUCACUGGGCGUAAAGGGUGCGUAGGCGGGUCCUUAAGGCAGGGGUGAAAUCCUGGAGCUCAACUCCAGAACUGCCUUUGAUACUGAGGAUCUUGAGUACGGGAGAGGUGAGUGGAACUGCGAGUGUAGAGGUGAAAUUCGUAGAUAUUCGCAAGAACACCAGUGGCGAAGGCGGCUCACUGGCCCGUUACUGACGCUGAGGCACGAAAGCGUGGGGAGCAAACAGG